GCCGAGAGGGCGAAGAAUACAAGACCCGCAAGGGGAAUAAUUCCAGCCUUACUUUUCAGGUUUUCUAACCUCUUGGCCACCCAUU
rnacentral:ncRNA from 1 species